rnacentral:rRNA from 1 species
UAGGGAAUCUUCCACAAUGGACGCAAGUCUGAUGGAGCAACGCCGCGUGAGCGAAGAAGGUCUUCGGAUUGUAAAGCUCUGUUGUUGGUGAAGAAGGAUAGAGGCAGUAACUGGUCUUUAUUUGACGGUAAUCAACCAGAAAGUCACGGCUAACUACGUGCCAGCAGCCGCGGUAAUACGUAGGUGGCAAGCGUUGUCCGGAUUUAUUGGGCGUAAAGCGAGCGCAGGCGGAAUGAUAAGUCUGAUGUGAAAGCCCACGGCUCAACCGUGGAACUGCAUCGGAAACUGUCAUUCUUGAGUGCAGAAGAGGAGAGUGGAACUCCAUGUGUAGCGGUGGAAUGCGUAGAUAUAUGGAAGAACACCAGUGGCGAAGGCGGCUCUCUGGUCUGCAACUGACGCUGAGGCUCGAAAGCAUGGGUAGCGAACAGGAUUAGAUACCCUGGUAGUCCAUGCCGUAAACGAUGAGCGCUAGGUGUUGGGGACUUUCCGGUCCUCAGUGCCGCAGCAAACGCAUUAAGCGCUCCGCCUGGGGAGUACGACCGCAAGGUUGAAACG